UAAGUGCUUCCAUGUUUUAGUGG
rnacentral:ncRNA from 2 species